AAUAACCAAAUGUAACGCUUGAGCUAAGGGUCAAGUUGGUAAUUUUUCGUACAUCUCCCCCUCCUGGAGCCCAGGUAUCAUAUACACCUCCAAAAUAAAGAGCCUUGAUAACGCAAAGGCAUC
rnacentral:ncRNA from 1 species